CCAUGCAUGUCUAAGCACAUGCCUUAAUACGGUGAAGCCGCGAAUAGCUCAUUACAACAGCCACUGUUUACUAGAAAAUAGUUAUCCUACUUGGAUAACUGUGGCAAUUCUAGAGCUAAUACAUGCAAUUAUGCUCUGCCCGCAAGGAACGAGCGCAUUUAUUAGAAUAAAAACCAAUCGGGUCUCGGCCCGUAGUUUGGUGAAUCUGAAUAACUUUGCCAAUCGCACAGUCCUAGUACUGGCGAUAUAUCUUUCAAGUGUCUGCCUUAUCAACUUUCGAUGGUAGGUUAUACGCCUACCAUGGUAGUAACGGGUAACGGAGAAUAAGGGUUCGACUCCGGAGAGGGAGCCUGAGAAACGGCUACCACAUCCAAGGAAGGCAGCAGGCGCGCAAAUUACCCACUUCCAGAACGGAGAGGUAGUGACGAAAAAUAACGAGACAGUCCUCUUCGAGGUCUGUCAUCGGAAUGGGUACAAUUUAAAUCCUUUAACGAGGAUCUAUUGGAGGGCAAGUCUGGUGCCAGCAGCCGCGGUAAUUCCAGCUCCAAUAGCGUAUAUUAAAGUUGUUGCGGUUAAAACGCUCGUAGUUGGAUCUGCGGCCUCGGAGAACGGUCCCCCGAAAGGGCGGUCACUGUCUCUCCUAGCCUAAAUUCGAGUCGUCUCUAGGUGCUCUUUACCGAGUGCUUAGAGUGACUAGAACGUUUACUUUGAAAAAAUUAGAGUGCUUAAAGCAGGCGUAAUAGCCUGAAUAAGGUGCAUGGAAUAAUGGAAUAGGACCUCGGUUCUAUUUUGUUGGUUUUCGGAACCUGAGGUAAUGAUUAAGAGGAACAGACGGGGGCAUUUGUAUUCCGGCGCUAGAGGUGAAAUUCUUGGACCGCCGGAAGACAAACGACUGC
rnacentral:rRNA from 1 species